GUGAGUGUGGUGUAGUGGUUUGAGCACUGGACUAUGACUCUGGAGACCAGGGUUCAAAUUCCCACUCAGCCACA